CAUGAAUCCAGAGGGCAGCUGCAGAGAGAGGACCACCUGUGCUGGGGCUCGAGAGAGGCUGCACAGAAGACGGGAUCCACUCAGGCCGAUGCAGGCAAAACGCUUGUUCCUGGCACCCAGAGCUGCAUGUGGGCAGGGAGAAGAGCAGAAAUGGUACUUCCUCGGAGGCACGGGCUGCUCCUGUUUGGGGAGCCAUCAUUCACAUUUUGAUCUUGAGGAUGUCUUAGGGUCCUAUUCUUCGUUCCCUCCUCCCAGCCACUGCGUUUAGGGCACAAUGCAAUGAUACAACUUUUUCCUUCUUGAAAAAGGAGUCAUUGCCCUGACCUCUCGUGUCGUCUGUGGGGCUCCAGGGCAUCCUCGAAGUCCCUAAAUAGGUUGAAAUAAACAACUCUCCAGCAGGUGAGGAAAUAUUCUGCCAUUCACAGGAUGCGAUUUUGCAUUAAAUGGCUGCUGAAGAAUCCUAUGUAUUGAAG
rnacentral:lncRNA from 1 species